rnacentral:tRNA from 1 species
GGUUGGGGUCGAGGCUCAGUGGCAGCGGCCUCUGCUUGGCCUGCAGAUGGUGCCAGGUUCGAGCCCUGGUCUCUCCA